rnacentral:rRNA from 1 species
CGGGAAUUUUGGGCAAUGGGCGAAAGCCUGACCCAGCAACGCCGCGUGAGGGAUGAAGUAUUUCGGUAUGUAAACCUCGAAAGAAUGGGAAGAAUAAAUGACGGUACCAUUUAUAAGCUCCGGCUAACUACGUGCCAGCAGCCGCGGUAAUACGUAGGGAGCAAGCGUUGUUCGGAUUUACUGGGCGUAAAGGGCGCGUAGGCGGCGCGGUAAGUCACUUGUGAAAUCUCUGAGCUUAACUCAGAACGGCCAAGUGAUGCUGCUGUGCUAGAGUGCGGAAGAGGCAACCGGAAUUCUUGGUGUAGCGGUGAAAUGCGUAGAUAUCAAGAGGAACACCUGAGGCGAAGGCGGGUUGCUGGGCCGACACUGACGCUGAUGCGCGAAAGCCAGGGGAGCAAACG